AGCAGUUAGUGCAUAUUAUCAUGUGAAAGCUAUGCACAUCAAUCAUAGACUUAAAAGCGAGACGGUAUUAACAGGUUUGAGGAAACUGGUUAUGGGUAGCCUCAGUUGAAAAACCCUGUCUCGGAACGUCGUAAUCUGCAAGUGAAAUGCCCAUUCCAAGGAUAACUUUACACUGGGCAAGAACACAAGCGACGUUAUACCUCUGUCAUUUCAUGCCAGAGUUCUUUACCUCGUCUUGUUCUGUAUUGAAUUACCUGUCAAACUUUUAAACUGAUCUCCCCUGUGAGGUGAAAGUUCUAGAAUUGAAACUCAGCCACAUGUGAACGUUUUCCAAUUAGUGUACUAGUGAAGACGUGAUCCUCGUAGAUGAGCUGCGGCAAUUGCAGAAAAGGAUGCUGAAAAAAUUCAGCCUUCGAUGGGGGGUUUUAACCUGUGCCUCCAGAGGUCAAAUGUUAUUGUUGGUCACUUUUAUCAGGCUUGUUUUCUUUGAUAUAUUUACUGCACCUCAGUGGCGAGGAUCAUAUCCUCAUUUAUCUAUCAUCCGCAAUUCAACAAUAUACAGUUGAACUUCGAUUAUCCGGACCCCGAUUAUCCGAACUUUUUCUCUGAUCCCAAUUUUUUCAUAAAUAUUUAUUAGUAACGAUCAAGAUCCGUAGCCAUAUUCUUUUUAAAAAUACAACGUUGAAAAGUGAA